rnacentral:rRNA from 1 species
CGGGAAAGCUCAAAUUUAAAAUCUGGCGGUCUCCGGCCGUCCGAGUUGUAAUUUAGAGAAGCGUUAUCCGUGCUGGACCGUGUAUAAGUCUCCUGGAAUGGAGCGUCAUAGAGGGUGAGAAUCCCGUCUUUGACACGGACUACCAGUGCAUUGUGAUGCGCUCUCGACGAGUCGAGUUGUUUGGGAAUGCAGCUCAAAAUGGGUGGUAAAUGCCAUCUAAAGCUAAAUAUUGGCGAGAGACCGAUAGCGAACAAGUACCGUGAGGGAAAGAUGAAAAGAACUUUGGAAAGAGAGUUAAACAGUACGUGAAAUUGUCGAAAGGGAAACGGUUGCAGUCAGUCGCGUCCGCCGGGGAUCAACCUUGCUUUUGCUUGGCGUAUUUCCCGGUGGAUGGGUCAGCAUCAGUUUUGACCGCAGUUGAAAGGCUGGAGGAAUGUGGCACCUUCGGGUGUGUUAUAGCCUCCUGUCAUAUGCUGCGGUUGGGACUGAGGAACUCAGCACGCCGCAAGGCCGGGAUUCGUCCACGUUCGUGCUCAGGAUGCUGGCAUAAUGUCUGUAACCGACCCGUCUU